rnacentral:rRNA from 1 species
UACGGGGGGGGCAAGCGUUGUUCGGAAUUACUGGGCGUAAAGGGCUCGUAGGCGGCCAACUAAGUCAGACGUGAAAUCCCUCGGCUUAACCGGGGAACUGCGUCUGAUACUGGAUGGCUUGAAUUCGGGAGAGGGAUGCAGAAUUCCAGGUGUAGCGGUGAAAUGCGUAGAUAUCGAGAGGAACACCUGCGGCGAAGGCGGGUUGCUGGGCUGACACUGACGCUGAGGCGCGAAAGCUAGGGGAGCGAACGGG